UGGACAGAUUAUUGUAUUUGAUUGUAUUCACGGCGUGAAAUAGGGGAUUGCACUAUUUUUAAAAUGGAAAGUGAAUCAAUUAACAUAAUAGACUCCU
rnacentral:pre_miRNA from 1 species